AGAUUGAACGCUGGCGGCAGGCCUAACACAUGCAAGUCGAGCGGUAGAGAGGUGCUUGCAUCUCUUGAGAGCGGCGGACGGGUGAGUAAUGCCUAGGAAUCUGCCUAGUGGUGGGGGAUAACGUUCGGAAACGGACGCUAAUACCGCAUACGUCCUACGGGAGAAAGCGGGGGACCUUCGGGCCUCGCGCCAUUAGAUGAGCCUAGGUCGGAUUAGCUAGUUGGUGAGGUAAUGGCUCACCAAGGCGACGAUCCGUAACUGGUCUGAGAGGAUGAUCAGUCACACUGGAACUGAGACACGGUCCAGACUCCUACGGGAGCAGCAGUGGGGAAUAGUUGGACAAGUGGGGACAAAGGCCUGAUCCAGCCAU
rnacentral:rRNA from 1 species